rnacentral:rRNA from 1 species
GAUGAACGCUGGCGGCGUGCCUAAUACAUGCAAGUCGAGCGAACGGACGAGAAGCUUGCUUCUCUGAUGUUAGCGGCGGACGGGUGAGUAACACGUGGAUAACCUACCUAUAAGACUGGGAUAACUUCGGGAAACCGGAGCUAAUACCGGAUAAUAUUUUGAACCGCAUGGUUCAAAAGUAAAAGACGGUCUUGCUGUCACUUAUAGAUGGAUCCGCGCUGCAUUAGCUAGUUGGUAAGGUAACGGCUUACCAAGGCAACGAUGCAUAGCCGACCUGAGAGGGUGAUAGGCCACACUGGAACUGAGACACGGUCCAGGCGCCUACGGGAGGCAGCAGUAGGGAAUCUUCCGCAAUGGGCGAAAGCCUGACGGAGCAGCGCCGCGUGAGUGGUGAAGGUCUUCGGAUCGUAAAACUCUGUUAUUAGGGAAGAACAUAUGUGUAAGUAACUGUGCACAUCUUGGCGGUACCUAAUCAGAAAGCCACGGCUAACUACGUG